GACGAACGCUGGCGGCGUGCCUAAUACAUGCAAGUCGAACGCAGUGGGGCCGGGUGAGUAACCCGUGGGUAACCUCCCAUCAGAGGGGAUAACACUUGGACACAGGUGCUAAACCGAUACUGAUGGCUGAACCCGCGGGGCAUUAGCUAGUUGGUGAGGUAACGGAUCACCAAGGCCACGAUGCAUAGCGGACCUGAGAGUGGUAUCGGCCACACUGGGACUGAGACACGGCCCAGACUCCUACGGGAGGCAGCAGUAGGGAAUCUUCGGAAAUGGACGAAAGUCUGACCGAGCAACGCCGCGUGAGUGAAGAAGGUGUUCGGAUCGUAAAACUCUUUUGUUAGAGAAGCGGUAUCUAACCAGAAAGCCACGGCUAACUACGUGCCAGCAGCCGCGGUAAUUC
rnacentral:rRNA from 1 species